GGAGGGAAAAGUGUAUUUUGUAAGAAUUUGAUUUCAUGGCGUUUUCCUACGUCUGCAUUCAAGCCUACCGAAUAUUUGUAAUAGUUGAACCUUUAAAUUCAUGGGUAAAAUUGAUAUCCAUCAAAUAAUAAUGAAUUCACAAGAGAUCUCAAAUAUUGAAAUCAUUUUUAAAUGAUACUUUUAAUUGAAUAUCCAAAUCAUAUUACUAUCUAUUGGUAGU
rnacentral:lncRNA from 1 species